UGGCGGCACUAGCGCGGUGGUCCCACCUGACCCCAUGCCGAACUCAGAAGUGAAACGCCGUAGCGCCGAUGGUAGUGUGGGGGUCUCCCCAUGUGAGAGUAGGGAACUGCCCAGGC
rnacentral:rRNA from 1 species